rnacentral:rRNA from 1 species
GACAGAGGGGGCAAGCGUUGCUCGGAAUUACUGGGCGUAAAGGGCGCGUAGGCGGAAUGGCAAGUCGGUCGUGAAAUCCUUCGGCUCAACCGAAGAACGUCGAUCGAAACUGCCGUUCUUGAGGAUUGCAGAGGAGACUGGAAUUCCCGGUGUAGCGGUGAAAUGCGUUGAUAUCGUAAGGAAGACCAGUGGCGAAGGCGGGUCUCUGGACAGUUCCUGACGCUGAGGCACGAAGGCCAGGGGAGCAAACGGG